rnacentral:rRNA from 1 species
GAUGAACGCUGGCGGCGUGCCUAAUACAUGCAAGUCGAGCGAACGGACGAGAAGCUUGCUUCUCUGGUGUUAGCGGCGGACGGGUGAGUAACACGUGGAUAACCUACCUAUAAGACUGGGAUAACUUCGGGAAACCGGAGCUAAUACCGGAUAAUAUUUUGAACCGCAUGGUUCAAAAGUGAAAGACGGUCUUGCUGUCACUUAUAGAUGGAUCCGCGCUGCAUUAGCUAGUUGGUAAGGUAACGGCUUACCAAGGCAACGAUGCAUAGCCGACCUGAGAGGGUGAUCGGGCACACUGGAACUGAGACACGGUCCAGACUCCUACGGGAGGCAGCAGUAGGGAAUCUACCGCAAUGGGCGAAAGCCUGACGGAGCAACGGCGCGUGAGUGAUGAAGGUCUUCGGAUCGUAAAACUCUGUUAUUAGGGAAGAACAUAUAUGUAAGUAACUGUGCACAUCUUGACGGUACAUAAUCAGAAAGCCACGGCUAACUACGUG